AAGUCGUAACAAGGUAACCGUAGGUGAACCUGCGGUUGGAUCAUUACUGAAAAUUAUUUUUCUUUUUUGUUUUUGGAAAAUUUCCAUUUCAAAAAAGAGAAAAUAAUACCACCCCUUUGUGAACUGUUUGACGUAUUUUGGCGGGUGCAAUUAUUGUGGGUCAACUUUGAUGGAUUGUUGAAAGAGGUUUUUAUUGGCUUCUUUUCAACAAACCUUUUUUUUUUGGCUCCGCAUCCGUCAGUGUUUUGUAACCAACCCAUUUUUUUUUGUUUUAUAAGUCACCAACAGAUUCCUUUCGAGGAUUUUGUUUUUCAUAAUUUUUGAAAACAACUUUUGACAAUGGAUCUCUUGGCUCUC
rnacentral:misc_RNA from 1 species